rnacentral:lncRNA from 1 species
GCAAGGUCCGUGCCAUGAAGAACCGGAAUGAAAAAGGUCUAAAAUACUAACACUAUUCCAUCGUCUGCAAGGUUGUACGCAACAUACUGUAGGAAUUACUUUUACAUCGCUUUUGGAAGUUCUCCAAGGAAACUAAAAGGAUUGUCAACUAAAAUGUUGACAAUCGAAUUAUUAUUUAUUGGUUUGAAGUUGGUCAUGUCCAUUCCAUUUGCUGUUAUGACAGAUUCAUCGGAAGACAUGACAGGACUCCAGUACCUGCACAAGCACCUAUCUUCCUCCGAAGCUGAACUCGUGCUCCGCAGUCGGCAGUUUUCUCUUAAUUUGACAAUGGGGGCCAGUGAUAAGGCACCGGAAAAUUUUGAGAUUAGCCUUACAAACGGAAAACUAUUACAGACAAGCAGCGCAGGGAGUUCUCCAGACUCCAGAGAAAGAUGUCAAUAUAUAAUGGAUAACGCAAUAUCGUGCCACAUUUCUAUAAUUGGCUGGAACGCCACAUACGACGGAGAAAUGAAGCACGCGAAUUUAGGAAGCGAGAAGUUUCGUGUAACCAUUAUUCUUCAAAAAUACGACCUCCCACUGAACCCUGCUGAUAUUUGGAUAUACAUGAAGUUUGCAGACACCUCCUCAGGUCGUUACACCAGCACAACACCUUCAGAUUUCGUGCUGGAUAUGAGUACACUUCCUCCUUUGACACAACUUGGCGUGUUACAAAAGAACGGCCUCUCAGAAAGUGCGUGGGAUAAACUAAAGAAGAUAAUGUAUUGGAAUCUCAAGAAAGAUCUAAUACAUGCGAUGAUAACGAAGUACAAAGAAUGGGUUGAGAAAGAA